rnacentral:rRNA from 1 species
AUUGAACGCUGGCGGCAUGCCUUACACAUGCAAGUCGAACGGUAACAGGUCUUCGGAUGCUGACGAGUGGCGAACGGGUGAGUAAUACAUCGGAACGCGCCUAGUAGGGGGAGAUAACUACUCGAAAGAGCGGCUAAUACCGCAUGAGAUCUACGGAUGAAAGCAGGGGAUCGCAAGACCUUGUGCUACUAUAGCGGCCGAUGGCAGAUUAGGUAGUUGGUGGGAUAAAAGCUUACCAAGCCGACGAUCUGGAGCUGGUCUGAGAGGACGAUCAGCCACACUGGGACUGAGACACGGCCCAGACUCCUACGGGAGGCAGCAGUGGGGAAUUUUGGACAAUGGGCGCAAGCCUGAUCCAGCAAUGCCGCGUGCAGGAUGAAGGCCUUCGGGUUGUAAACUGCUUUUGUACGGAACGAAAAGCCCUGGGUUAAUACCCUGGGGUCAUGACGGUACCGUAAGAAUAAGCACCGGCUAACUACGUGCCAGCAGCCGCAGUAAUAC